rnacentral:rRNA from 1 species
AUUGGACGCUGGCGGCAUGCCUUACACAUGCAAGUCGAACGGUAACAGGUUAAGCUGACGAGUGGCGAACGGGUGAGUAAUGUAUCGGAACGUGCCCAGUCGUGGGGGAUAACUGCUCGAAAGAGCAGCUAAUACCGCAUACGACCUGAGGGUGAAAGCGGGGGAUCACAAGACCUCGCGCGAUUGGAGCGGCCGAUAUCAGAUUAGGUAGUUGGUGAGGUAAAGGCUCACCAAGCCGACGAUCUGUAGCUGGUCUGAGAGGACGACCAGCCACACUGGGACUGAGACACGGCCCAGACUCCUACGGGAGGCAGCAGUGGGGAAUUUUGGACAAUGGGCGCAAGCCUGAUCCAGCCAUGCCGCGUGCGGGAAGAAGGCCUUCGGGUUGUAAACCGCUUUUGUCAGGGAAGAAAAGGUUCUGGCUAAUACCUGGGACUCAUGACGGUACCUGAAGAAUAAGCACCGGCUAACUACGUG